GGAGAAGUGUCCGAGCGGUCGAAGGAGCACGCCUGGAAAGUGUGUAUACCUCAAAAGGGUAUCGCGGGUUCGAAUCCCGCCUUCUCCGCGA
rnacentral:tRNA from 1 species